AUGCUCACUUUAGCAGCACACACACUAAAACUGGAAUGAUAGAAGAUUACUAUGGUCCCUGAGCAGGGACGAUAGGCAAAUUUGUGAACUGUUCACUAUUUUA